CAAUAAUAGGAAGCCAAAAACCAGAGAGAUUCUUUUUUUUAAGGGAGCUGUCAAAAUUAGUAGGGACGUUCUGACAUUAGCUCUUGACAAUUUAAAAAUAAUCGGUUUUUUCUAGUGCCAUCUUUCAGUGACAUUGACAGUAUUGUAUUGACACUUGUUGGUUUACAAAUACAAUAAAAUGAAUUCUAAUAAAAAAAGAAACAGUAGACUCAGUAGAGGUAUGAGGUACUGAAAAAAUAUUAAUUAAUGGAGAAGCCGAAGUUGGAGGAAAACAAGAAGAUUCGAGGAGAAUGGUGUGGCACUUAAUGCCGCCCCGGGACAGUAACCUAGCUGCAGCUCCAACUCUAGGGAAUUGGGCUGAAUGAACGCAACACGUGAUCGACAGCCCACCUGUUUCCUGCCGAGCGUCCCUACACUACAUCUACAUGGAUGCCUCGCUUAUUCUGCUCUACAAAACUUCUGAGCUGAUACAAGCAGCCAGAAUGAGUCUCUGCUGAGUCGCCGGCGCCGGACGUGCGUCGCGCGCCUCGGGCGACUGACGUCUUCGUGUGAGUCGCCAAUUGCAGGGGAAGUUACGAAUAGUUAGGUAUAAAAGCUACUUUAGUCAACCUCGCCUCAGUACUGUUUGUAUUGACUGAAAUACAAGUAGCAUAUAUGAGACGUUCGGACGUAUCCGUGAAAAUACGAAGGUAAAGGAAAUUGCACUACAUUUUUAGAACCUAUUCACCUGUCAGUAAAAUAUUGAAAGGGAAAGUUCAUGAGUUUUAUAAUUUUCUUUCCUCCAACAGCUUCACAUGGAGCAAAUGUAAACCUUUUAUGUUAAUAAUAUCAGUAAUGUCAAGGUACAACGCUCUUUAGAGCAUAUUGCCAUUCCUUUUACUCGAGUGGCCUGUGGGUUAACUAUACGAAGCGAGCCUACAAUGCAUUAAAAGUGCAGUAUAACAAUGCAUUCAGAAUGCUGUUGGGCUUACCUCGUAGAUGUAGUGCAUCUGGCAUGUUUUGCGAAGCUAGAAGUUUUCUGGCAAUCAU